rnacentral:rRNA from 9 species
CUAAAACUUUCAACAACGGAUCUCUUGGUUCUGGCAUCGAUGAAGAACGCAGCGAAAUGCGAUAAGUAAUGUGAAUUGCAGAAUUCAGUGAAUCAUCGAAUCUUUGAACGCACAUUGCGCCCCUUGGUAUUCCGGGGGGCAUGCCUGUUCGAGCGUCAUUACAACCCUCAAGCUC